AGAAUCAACGCUGGCGGCGUGCCUAACACAUGCAAGUCGCACGAGAACGGGGACUUCGGUCCUUUAGUAAAGUGGCGCACGGGUGAGUAACACGUGAAUCAUCUACCUUCGAGUGUGGAAUAACUGAGAGAAAUCUUAGCUAAUACCGCAUAAUACCUACGGGUCAAAGCAGCAAUGCGCUUGAAGAGGAGUUCGCGGCAGAUUAGUUAGUUGGCGGGGUAAUGGCCCACCAAGACGAUGAUCUGUA
rnacentral:rRNA from 1 species